UACGUAGGGUGCAAGCGUUAAUCGGAAUUACUGGGCGUAAAGCGUGCGCAGGCGGUUUUGUAAGUCUGACGUGAAAUCCCCGGGCUCAACCUGGGAAUUGCGUUGGAGACUGCAAGGCUGGAGUCUGGCAGAGGGGGGUAGAAUUCCCGGUGCAGCGGUGAAAUGCGUAGAGAUCGGGAGGAACAUCAGUGGCGAAGGCGGCCAUCUGGGACAACACUGACGCUGAAGCACGAAAGCGUGGGGAGCAAACAGG
rnacentral:rRNA from 1 species